rnacentral:tRNA from 1 species
AAUUUGAUUUUACAAUGAAAAUGUAAUGUUUUUUUUAAACUAUAUUAAUAGAAACAUGAACAAAUAUUUGC